rnacentral:rRNA from 1 species
GGGGGGGGGGGGGGGGGGGCGGGGCGCGGGGAGGGCGAGCGGGGAGGGGGGGCGGGUGGGGGGUGGUCGCGGGGCGAACGGGGGAGUAGCCCGUGAGUAACCGGGGCUGGAGUGUGGUCGAAAGUCAGGCAACUGGGGCUAAUCCCGGAUCGGAGCUCCAGAUGCAGAGUGGGGGGUGGCAGACUGCGGCGGUGGUGGAGCGACUCGCGGGUUAUGAUGUUGUUGGUGGGGUAGUGGCAUACCAAGGCAUUGACGGGUAGCCUGCCUGCGAGGGGGACCUGCCACAUUGGGACUGAGAUACGGCCCAGACUCCUACGGGAGGCAGCAGUGGGGAAUAUUGCACAAUGGGCGGAAGCCUGAUGCAGCAACGCCGCGUGCGGGAUGACGGCCUUCGGGUUGUAAACCGCUUUCGCCUGUGACGAAGCGUGAGUGACGGUAAUGGGUAAAGAAGCACCGGCUAACUACGUG